rnacentral:rRNA from 1 species
CCUACGGGUGGCAGCAGUGGGGAAUAUUGGACAAUGGGCGAAAGCCUGAUCCAGCCAUGCCGCGUGUGUGAAGAAGGCCUUCGGGUUGUAAAGCACUUUCAGUGGGGAAGAAAGCCUUGGGGCUAAUACCCUCGAGGAAGGACAUCACCUACAGAAGAAGCACCGGCUAACUCCGUGCCAGCAGCCGCGGUAAUACGGAGGGUGCGAGCGUUAAUCGGAAUUACUGGGCGUAAAGCGCGCGUAGGCGGUCUGAUAAGCCGGUUGUGAAAGCCCCGGGCUCAACCUGGGAACGGCAUCCGGAACUGUCAGGCUAGAGUGCAGGAGAGGAAGGUAGAAUUCCCGGUGUAGCGGUGAAAUGCGUAGAGAUCGGGAGGAAUACCAGUGGCGAAGGCGGCCUUCUGGACUGACACUGACGCUGAGGUGCGAAAGCGUGGGUAGCGAACAGGAUUAGAUACCCGGGUAGUC